rnacentral:rRNA from 1 species
AUGAACGCUGGCGGCGUGCCUAAUACAUGCCAGUCGAGCGAACAGACGAGGAGCUUGCUCCUCUGACGUUAGCGGCGGACGGGUGAGUAACACGUGGAUAACCUACCUAUAAGACUGGGAUAACUUCGGGAAACCGGAGCUAAUACCGGAUAACAUGUUGAACCGCAUGGUUCCACAGUGAAAGACGGUCUUGCUGUCACUUAUAGAUGGAUCCGCGCCGCAUUAGCUAGUUGGUAAGGUAACGGCUUACCAAGGCAACGAUGCGUAGCCGACCUGAGAGGGUGAUCAGCCACACUGGAACUGAGACACGGUCCAGACUCCUACGGGAGGCAGCAGUAGGGAAUCUUCCGCAAUGGGCGAAAGCCUGACGGAGCAACGCCGCGUGAGUGAAGAAGGUCUUCGGAUCGUAAAACUCUGUUAUUAGGGAAGAACAAAUGUGUAAGUAACUAUGCACGUCUUGACGGUACCUAAUCAGAAAGCCACGGCUAACUACGUG